rnacentral:lncRNA from 1 species
CCACCAUCCAGCACACGUCUGAACCCUGACUUUAUCCGACCCCUACUUCACUGGUACACUGAACCCCGUUUCUUUUUUUUCUUUCUUUUUUUUUUUUUUUUUUUUGGUUCUUUUUUUUCGGAGCUGGGGACCGAACCCAGGGCCUUGCGCUUCCUAGGUAAGCACUCUACCACUGAGCUAAAUCCCCAGCCCCCUGAACCCCGUUUCUUAACUAAAGACAAUCAAACCCUGUUAGUUGCCUUAAGACACCAUCUGAUGGUGGCGAUGCCAGGCCAGGAGUGGGGACUCUAGGUUCCCCUCCAGGAGUAGACACAAAUAGGCAGAGAAAAAGAUGUUUUUCCAGCUGCCUUUUCCUCUUCCUCCAUUUUGUUCCAUCCUCCUUUCUGCCUCACUCGAAUCCAGAAAAUUUCUAGAGACAGAAACUCGGGCACCUAGGAAGUAAAAGUGAGCGGCGUUGUCCAGCAUC